CGCCCGCCAUGAUGCCCGGCUCAUUUUCUGUGUUUUCAGUAGAGACGGGGUUUCACUGUGUUAGCCAGGAAAGUCUUGAUCUCCUGACCUCGUGAUCCUGACCUCGGCCUCCCAAAGUGCUGGGAUUACAGGCGCGAGCCACCGCGCCCGACAGCAGUUAUGAAGUUCUAAAAGCAAGUCUUAAUCAGGAAGUGUCCUUGAUCACCAACGGCUCGCCCAGGCUCACAGAACAAUAGCAAUUAAUAAUGAGUUCUAAUUGAUCCAUUUUUCCUUCCAUGAAUUGUGCUUUGGGUGUUGCUAUGCUUUGUGGCUCCUGAAGUUCACGUGUUAAAAACUCAAUUCCCAAUGCUAUGUUGAGAGGUGGGACCUUUAAAAGGAGACUAACGGAUAAGCAUUGUUACUGCUUGAGUGGGUUAGUUAUUGUGGGAGUGGGUUCCUGAUAAAAGAAUGCAUUUGGCUCCCUUCCUUUCUCACAGGCAUGCUGGCUCUCUUCCACUUCCACCUUCCACCAUGGGAUGACGCAGUAAGAAGGCCAUCAGUAGAUGCCAGUCCCUCAACCUUGAACUUUCCAGACGCAGAACUGUAAGAAUGAAUCUUUGUUCAUUAUAAAUUACCCAGUUGCAAGUAUUCUGUUAUGAUAGUGUAGCACAAAAUAGAUUAUUAAGAUGAAUGUCAAGCAUUAGAAUGUUAGUCAAGCUGUAAAUCUCAAAAAUUUUCCUCCUAUGUGUUUUUCAAUUGUCCUUUUUCUGUUCUAGCACUUGAUCCAAGAUACUGCAUUGUAUUUACGUGGCAGGUCUCCUUAGACUUCUCUUGGUGGUGGUAGUUUGUCAGACUUUCCUUAUUUUAAUAAUCAUGACAACUUCCAGAGAUUAGGAAAAGUAUCCCUACUAAUGUGUUUUAGAAUGUUCCCCAAUGGGGGUCUGUCUUAUGUUUUUCUCAUGAUUAAACUAUAUUAACGUGUUUUUGAGAGGAAGACAGAAGUGGAAUGCCAUUCUGUUCACAUCAUAUGAAGGGCGUUUGUUAUAAAAUGACUUAACCCUGUCAACACUAACCUUAUUUACUUGGCCUGAGGUAGUGUUUCUCAGGUUUCCGCACAGGAAUAUUACUGUGCUCUUCUUCGUUUCCAGAGUGCACUCCUUGGAAGGAAGUCACUAUAGAUAUCCCACGCAUGUGGAGAGGGGAGCUAUGAUCCACCUCAUGAAGG
rnacentral:lncRNA from 10 species